GAGAGAGAGAGAAGCUCUAAUGCUCGGUUCUUCUGCUUCACCUUCUCCUUCAUCCUUCCGAUUACAACUUCGCCGGCGUGUGUAUGUUUGUCGCUGUUUUGUCCGGUAUUGAUCCAGCAACUCGUGGCUUCUGUUCCUUUCUUCUCCUCUGUUCUAGCUCGUCGAAGCUCGUUCUUCUACGCUGUCGGUGACUGUAUGGAUGAGUGCUCGGUUUUUCUUCCUCUCCCUGUUCGUGCGUUUGGGUUUAUAUGAGCAUGUGCGGCAUCUUAUUUUAUUCGAUGUAAGAAUUAAACGUCAGCCACAGAAAACACUUUCCUUCCAAGUGGUAUGCAUAUAAGGAUGGGUUGCUGGUGUGUGAAAUUCGAAGGACAAACGGAGCUGACAGAGACAACGAUAGGGACUAAUUAAAAAGUUUUGUAAAACACGGGGAUUGAAAGAUUGUUUUUGCCAAAAUUAUAUUACGUGUAUAUUGGUAUUGUCAAGUGGCAUAAAUUUUAUUGAUGAGAGACUUGGUUUUUUUCUUGGAAAACAAGAUCCCGAGAGCGAAUGUGAGGGGAAUGGGCAGGGUGUGUAGUAUAUUUUUGGGGUAUAGGGGCCAUUGGGCCAAGUGAGGCCCAGAAAGCAGAGAUUUUGAAAAGAGAUGGGAGGAAAUUGGGGGGGUAUGAUUGGUCCACAUACACACGGGACGGGAUUUCACGUGAAGAAAGUAAAUCCUGUAAUGCUUGUGCGGUUUCUUUCUAAAUUUCUCAUUCCUCAUCAAUGGCAUUAAGGAGCGCCCCUCUCUUUAAUCAUCAAAUUUAAUCUCACUCCCUCACAUGCAAACCCCAUCUCUCUUCUCUCACCCGUCCCUUCGGUGUUCUUAUUUAUUGCAUCUCCCGUUUCAUAAAUGUUCCCUCUCUGCCUUUUCUUUUCUCCAAUCCUCUUUCCAACAAACAAUCUCAAUUCUUAUUUCCUUUUUAGUUUUCCCUACUUAUGACCCUCACUUGUCACACCCGAAGCUUGCCCUCCGCCUGUUUUCAAUUUCACACCAAACUUAAUCCAUCCCACUACAAUGCCUUCCUACUCUAACAUUGAAUCCCAUAUCAGUAUGUAAUAUCAAUCCAUCUCUGAGUUUUCCGUCCCAAUUAUGACAUGACAACCUUGUGGGUGGGUUGCUAUUAAAUGGAGGCUUAAUUAAGAAGAUCAAGCUUGUGGAUGGGAAGCAAAGCUAACACCCCGAAUUAUAGCAUCGAUCAUUCAUGAGGCUUAUUUUCUAUUUUCAACCAAUGAUUUAACGAGAUCAAUGCUAUUCUUUCGGAGUAUGGUAUGGUCCUGAUAAAUCUCUCGCUUUAUUUUUAAUCAUUCACAUGACUGAUGACCGGCCACGGGGGGAGAUGUAAGAAACUCAACUAGAUUUGAUUUACUUUUCAAUGUUCUUUAAAUGAACUGGUUCCCCAGAUUGGUUACAUUUGGAAAGAAAGGAGGCUCGUCUUCGAGUGUAUCAUUUACCCCCCCCUUUUUUUUCAUGUGGGAUGAAUCAUGAACCAGGGAUAGAUUUGAAAGAGUGCAAUAACAAGAACUCACGAGUUUCCUCACCUGGAGCUCCGACAAAAAGUAGAGCACCCACCUCACCAAUAACUCACCACCACCACAGCCCCUAAGUAAUGACGUACUAGCAAUUAGCUGUGCGUAUCUGCCUUCAGCAUCCAUUCACGAGCCUAUUAAUGAAGGCACUUCACAUUCUCGCAUGAAAGCCUCUUAUAAAACUAUCUUCCCUGCGGUCAUACACUCCCACACCGUAGUGCAGAACGCAUCAGCUAAUCUAAAUG